AAAAGCUGUUUCAUGGAUUCUCAUAAUUCGACUCAUGCAUUCAAGGAUCACUGAGUCAUCUUAAGUUCUGCUCUAAGGUACUUAAUCUAGUUUGGCCUCAUGCUCUCACUCUGUUUUUAGGAAUUUGUCUACCUUAGCCAUUAUGGAAAGAAUUCCAAGCAGGUGGCCACGUCCUGUGUGGCAUCCUCCAUGGAAGAACUACAGGGUCAUAAGUGGGCAUUUGGGAUGGGUGAGAUCUAUUGCAUUUGAUCCUAGUAAUCAAUGAUUCUGCACUGGCUCUGCAGAUCGAACAAUUAAGAUAUGGGAUCUAGCAAGCGGAAGGCUGAAGCUAACGCUGACAGGACAUAUUGAACAGAUUAGGGG